rnacentral:rRNA from 1 species
CUCUCGGCAACGGAUAUCUAGGCUCUCGCAUCGAUGAAGAACGUAGCGAAAUGCGAUACUUGGUGUGAAUUGCAGAAUCCCGCGAAUCAUCGAGUUUUUGAACGCAAGUUGCGCCCGAAGCCACCCGUGGCCGAAGGCACGUCUGCCUGGGCGUCACGCACCGUUGCC